rnacentral:rRNA from 1 species
UACGUAGGGAGCAAGCGUUGUCCGGAAUCAUUGGGCGUAAAGCGCGCGUAGGUGGCUUCGUAAGUCCGUUGUGAAAGUCAAAGGCUCAACCUUUGAAAGCCGAUGGAUACUGCGGAGCUAGAGUACGGAAGAGGCGAGUGGAAUUCCUGGUGUAGCGGUGGAAUGCGCAGAUAUCAGGAGGAACACCAAUAGCGAAGGCAGCUCGCUGGGACGUUACUGACACUGAGGCGCGAAAGCGUGGGGAGCGAACAGA